rnacentral:rRNA from 1 species
UACGUAGGGGGCAAGCGUUGUCCGGAUUUAUUGGGCGUAAAGAGCGUGUAGGCGGCCAUACAGGUCAGCUGUGAAAACUCGAGGCUCAACCUCGAGACGUCGGCGGAAACCAUCUGGCUAGAGUCCGGAAGAGGAGAGUGGAAUUCCUGGUGUAGCGGUGAAAUGCGCAGAUAUCAGGAAGAACACCCGUGGCGAAGGCAGCUCGCUGGGACGGUACUGACACUGAGACGCGAAAGCGUGGGGAGCAAACAGG